GUGGGGAAUUUUGGACAAUGGGCGCAAGCCUGAUCCAGCAAUGCCGCGUGCAGGAAGAAGGCCUUCGGGUUGUAAACUGCUUUUGUACGGAACGAAACGGUCCUGGCUAAUAUCCGGGGCUAAUGACGGUACCGUAAGAAUAAGCACCGGCUAACUACGUGCCAGCAGCCGCGGUAAUACGUAGGGUGCGAGCGUUAAUCGGAAUUACUGGGCGUAAAGCGUGCGCAGGCGGUGCUGUACGACCGGCGUGAAAUCCCCGGGCUCAACCUGGGAAUUGCGCUUGUGACUGCAGUGCUGGAGUGCGGCAGAGGGGGAUGGAAUUCCGCGUGUAGCAGUGAAAUGCGUAGAUAUGCGGAGGAACACCGAUGGCGAAGGCAAUCCCCUGGGCCUGCACUGACGCUCAUGCACGAAAGCGUGGGGAGCAAACAGGAUUAGAUACCCCGGUAGUCC
rnacentral:rRNA from 1 species